rnacentral:tRNA from 1 species
UCACCCAUGGCUUUGAGGAUGGGUGUCUGCCUGGGAAGCAGAAGAUUGUGGAAUCAAUCUCCACUUGUGAA